CCUACGGGAGGCUGCAGUGGGGAAUAUUGCACAAUGGGCGCAAGCCUGAUGCAGCCAUGCCGCGUGUGUGAAGAAGGCCUUCGGGUUGUAAAGCACUUUCAGCGGGGAGGAAGGCGGUGAGGUUAAUAACCUCAUCGAUUGACGUUACCCGCAGAAGAAGCACCGGCUAACUCCGUACCAGCAGCCGCGGUAAUACGGAGGGUGCAAGCGUUAAUCGGAAUUACUGGGCGUAAAGCGCACGCAGGCGGUCUGUCAAGUCGGAUGUGAAAUCCCCGGGCUCAACCUGGGAACUGCAUUCGAAACUGGCAGGCUAGAGUCGUGUAGAGGGGGGUAGAAUUCCAGGUGUAGCGGUGAAAUGCGUAGAGAUCUGGAGGAAUACCGGUGGCGAAGGCGGCCCCCUGGACAAAGACUGACGCUCAGGUGCGAAAGCGUGGGGAGCAAACAGGAUUAGAUACCCGUGUAGUC
rnacentral:rRNA from 1 species